UACGGGGGUGCGAGCGUUGUCCGGAAUCACUGGGCGUAAAGGGCGCGUAGGUGGUCUGAUAAGGGUGUGGUGAAAGCCCGGGGCUCAACCCCGGGUCGGCCGUGCCGACUGUCAGACUAGAGUACUGUAGGGGCAGGCGGAAUUCCUGGUGUAGCGGUGAAAUGCGUAGAUAUCAGGAGGAACACCGGUGGCGAAGGCGCACACCUGGCCCGAUACUGACGCUGAGGCGCGAAAGCUAGGGGAGCAAACGGG
rnacentral:rRNA from 1 species